AUUGAAGGGACGGGAUGUGUGUGUCAGCAUUUGUGUGACAAUCAUUGCACUCUGUGCCUGAAAGAGUUCCCUGCAAAAUUGAUUGUUAGGGGAAGGUGGGCAGUUGUGUCUCAUUUUCUGCCAUUGAGAAUUACAACAAUCAUCUUCUGCACAUCA